GAUGAACGCUGGCGGCGUGCCUAAUACAUGCAAGUCGAGCGAACAGACGAGGAGCUUGCUCCUUUGACGUUAGCGGCGGACGGGUGAGUAACACGUGGGUAACCUACCUAUAAGACUGGGAUAACUUCGGGAAACCGGAGCUAAUACCGGAUAAUAUUUCGAACCGCAUGGUUCGAUAGUGAAAGAUGGUUUUGCUAUCACUUAUAGAUGGACCUGCGCCGUAUUAGCUAGUUGGUAAGGUAACGGCUUACCAAGGCAACGAUACGUAGCCGACCUGAGAGGGUGAUCGGCCACACUGGAACUGAGACACGGUCCAGACUCCUACGGGAGGCAGCAGUAGGGAAUCUUCCGCAAUGGGCGAAAGCCUGACGGAGCAACGCCGCGUGAGUGAUGAAGGUCUUCGGAUCGUAAAACUCUGUUAUUAGGGAAGAAUAAACGUGUAAGUAACUGUGCACGUCUUGACGGUACCUAAUCAGAAAGCCACGGCUAACUACGUG
rnacentral:rRNA from 1 species